AGGUAGCGUAAUCAUUUGUCUUUUAAAUGAAGACCUGUAUGAAUGGCACAACGAGAGCUUAACUGUCUCACUCUCCCAGUCAAUGAAAUUGAUCUCCCCGUGCAGAAGCGAGGAUUAAAACAUAAGACGAAAAGACCCUAUGGAGCUUUAGAUCCUGAAACAGCCCUCUUAAACUUAAUACAAUAAUUAUUUUCGGCCCCUGUUUCUAUGUUUCUUCGGUUGGGGCGACCAUGGAGAAAAAUAAAACCUCCACGAAAAACACUAAGUGUUUAAUAAAACCAAGAGCAACAACUCUAAUUUCCAGAAUUUCUGUUCACUAAAGAUCCGAUUAACUAAUCGAUCAACGAAACAAGUUACCCUAGGGAUAACAGCGCAAUCCCCUUCUAGAGCCCACAUCGACAAGGGGGUUUACGAC
rnacentral:rRNA from 1 species